UACGAGUGCCCCAAGCGUUAUCCGGAAUUAUUGGGCGUAAAGGGUGUGUAGGUGGCGUGUUUAGUCCUCUGUCAAAAUUCUUCGGCUCAACCGGGGUCUCGCAGAGGAAACGGGCAUGCUCGAGGUUGCGAGGGGUCUAGGGAACUCAUGGAGUAGGGGUGAAAUCCGUUGAUAUCAUGGGGAACACCAAAAGCGAAGGCACUAGACUGGCGCAUACCUGACACUGAGACACGGAAAGCGUGGGUAGCGAACGGGG
rnacentral:rRNA from 1 species